UACGGAGGGUGCAAGCGUUGCUCGGAAUUAUUGGGCGUAAAGGGUAGGUAGGUGGUCUCGUUUGUCUAGGGUGAAAUCCUUGAGCUUAACUCAAGAAGUGCCUCAGAAACGGCGAGACUAGAGUUCUGGAGAGGGUCGUGGAAUUCCCGGUGUAGCGGUGAAAUGCGUAGAGAUCGGGAGGAACACCAGAGGCGAAGGCGGCGAUCUGGGCAGAUACUGACGCUGAGGUGCGAAAGCGUGGGGAGCAAACAGG
rnacentral:rRNA from 1 species